rnacentral:ncRNA from 1 species
CAGCAGGAGCCAGUCCUGCCGGGGUAAAAGUCAGGCGCCCCGUAGCUUGAAUAGCAGGGUGGCGGGAAACCAAGACUCUGAAGCCUAUCGACAGGCGGCCCCUUGGGGGCCGCGCGAGUCAUCGGGCCGUAACCAAA